AUUGAACGCUGGCGGCAUGCCUUACACAUGCAAGUCGAACGGCAGCACGGGAGCAAUCCUGGUGGCGAGUGGCGAACGGGUGAGUAAUAUAUCGGAACGUGCCCAGUCGUGGGGGAUAACGCAGCGAAAGCUGUGCUAAUACCGCAUACGAUCUACGGAUGAAAGCGGGGGAUCGCAAGACCUCGCGCGAUUGGAGCGGCCGAUAUCAGAUUAGCUAGUUGGUGAGGUAAAGGCUCACCAAGGCGACGAUCUGUAGCUGGUCUGAGAGGACGACCAGCCACGCUGGAACUGAGACACGGUCCAGACUCCUACGGGAGGCAGCAGUGGGGAAUUUUGGACAAUGGGCGCAAGCCUGAUCCAGCAAUGCCGCGUGCAGGAUGAAGGCCUUCGGGUUGUAAACUGCUUUUGUACGGAACGAAACGGUGAACUCUAAUACAGUUUGCUAAUGACGGUACCGUAAGAAUAAGCACCGGCUAACUACGUGCCAGCCGCCGCGGUAA
rnacentral:rRNA from 1 species